rnacentral:rRNA from 1 species
GAUGAAUGCUGGCGGCGUGCUUAACACAUGCAAGUCGAGCGGCAGCGCGAGUAGUUUACUACUUGGCGGCGAGCGGCGGACGGCUGAGUAACGCGUGGGAACAUGCCCUAAAGUGAGGAAUAACCGCCCGAAAGGGUGGCUAAUGCCGCAUAUGAUCUUCGGAUUAAAGGAUUUAUCCGCUUUAGGAGUGGCCUGCGUAUGAUUAGGUAGUUGGUGAGGUAAUGGCCCACCAAGCCGACGAUCAUUAGCUGGUCUGAGAGGAUGACCAGCCAGACUGGAACUGAGACACGGUCCAGACUCCUACGGGAGGCAGCAGUGAGGAAUCUUCCACAAUGGGCGAAAGCCUGAUGGAGCAACGCCGCGUGCAGGAUGAAGGCCUUCGGGUUGUAAACUGCUUUUAUAAGUGAAGAAUAUGACGGUAACCUAUGAAUAAGCACCGGCUAACUACGUGCCAGCCGCCGCGGUAA